UACGUAGGCAGCGAGCGUUGUUCGGAGUUACUGGGCGUAAAGGGUGUGUAGGCGGUUGUUUAAGUUUGGUGUGAAAUCUCCGGGCUUAACCCGGAAAUGGCAUUGGAAACUGCUUGGCCAGAGUGUUGGAGGGGGGACUGGAAUUCUCGGUGUAGCAGUGAAAUGCGUAGAUAUCGAGAGGAACACCAGUGGCGAAGGCGAGUCCCUGGACAACGACUGACACUGAGGCACGAAAGCUAGGGGAGCAAACAGG
rnacentral:rRNA from 1 species